AUUGAACGCUGGCGGCAUGCCUUACACAUGCAAGCCGAACGGCAGCACGGGUGCUUGCACCUGGUGGCGAGUGGCGAACGGGUGAGUAAUACAUCGGAACGUACCUUAUCGUGGGGGAUAACGCAGCGAAAGCUGUGCUAAUACCGCAUACGCCCUGAGGGGGAAAGCGGGGGAUCGCAAGACCUCGCGCGAUUAGAGCGGCCGAUGCCUGAUUAGCUUGGUGGUGGGGUAAAAGCCCACCAAGGCGGCGAUCAGUAGAUGGUCUGAGAGGACGAGCUGCGACACUGGGACUGAGACACGGCCCAGCGUCCUACGGAGGGCAGCAGUGGGGAAUUUUGGACGAUGGGGGCGACGCUGAUCCAGCAAUGCCGCGUGAGUGAAGAAGGCCUUCGGGUUGUAAAGCUCUUUUGUAAGGGAAGAAGCGCCGGCUCUAACACAGUCCGGGAAUGACGGUACCUGAAGAAUAAGCAACGGCUAACUACGUGCCAGCCGCCGCCGUAA
rnacentral:rRNA from 1 species